CAAGCGAUGAUUCUUCAGAUGAGGAUAAACUGAAAAUUGCUGAUGAAGGAGGGAAAACAAAUUUGGAGACCAGACGACUGGGAGUGGUCAGUGUGCUGUCCUCUCACCAGCUUCAGGCUGGCCUUGUACUCUCGGUGACCCUCCUGCCUCAGAUUUGUACUCCGUGCCUAGCUGUCUUGUAGCUAGAGGAAACUACAGCGGAUAUGUCAUUGAGAAGCUCAGCUGAUAUGCUAGGUGGCACCCUCAUUCCAAAGCAAGUGUCAUUCUGCUGUCCAAACACUGGCUAGCAG
rnacentral:lncRNA from 1 species